rnacentral:rRNA from 1 species
GACGAACGCUGGCGGCGUGCUUAACACAUGCAAGUCGAACGGAAAGGCCUGCUUUCCCUUGUGGAUUGCGGGUACUCGAGUGGCGAACGGGUGAGUAAUACGUGAGUGAUCUGCCCCCAACUUGGGUAUAAGCCUGGGAAACUGGGUCUAAUUCCCGAUAGGACUGCAGGGUGGUGCCUGUGGUGGAAAACGAUUUUCUAGUGGUUGGGGAUGAGCUCGCGGCCUAUCAGCUUGUUGGUGGGGUAAUGGCCUACCAAGGCGGCGACGGGUAGCCGGCCUGGGAGGGUGGACGGCCACAUGGGGACGGGGAAACGGCCCAGACUCCUACGGGAGGCAGCAGUGGGGAAUAUUGCACAAUGGGCGGAGGCCUGAUGCAGCGACGCGGCGUGGGGGAUGACGGCCUUCGGGUUGUAAACUCCUUUCGACCGCGAGGAAGCCACCUGGUUGGAAGGGUGGUGACGGUAGUGGUAGAAGAAGCACCGGCUAACUACGU